AUUCAUAUAUUAUAUCCGCAAAUAAGCAUAUCAAAGCAAAAAACCAAAAUUUUUUAGGAAUCAAAACAAUAACAAUCAUCUUCUAUAAAUAUAGAUUAUAGGAUUUCAGUUUCCUCAAAAUUGUUUUUACAUACAUCACAAUGUCUAUGGCAGAGAUUUUCGAGAGAGUUGACAAAAAUAAAGAUGGAAAAAUUUCAUGGGACAAAUUUGAGGAGGCCAUUCGCGUUUUUUCUCCUAAAAUAACAUCUGAAGAAAUUGAUAAGAUGUUCAUAGUUCUUGUUGUUGAUGGUGGCGGUCAAAUUGAUGAUGUGGAGUUUCCUUCAUGCUUGAUGGUUAAUGGUGGAGGAGAAAAAGAUGAUCAAGAAGAAGUUGUUAUGAAAAAAGUAUACAAUAGAGGAAUGUGUUGCGAUGGUUAAGCCGUUGAUAAAGAAAGUGAUAGUUUUAUUAACUUUGAAGAGUUUAAGAUUAUGAUGAGCUCUAACAAAGAGUCUUUCUGAUCUUACUCAAAAAUUUAAUAGUUUAAUUACUUUUUGGUAUUUUAUUUGCUUUUUAGUUUAUGAACUCGGUUUUGAUGAUUACGUUUUUAUCAAAUUGUCAAUGAAUUAUUUUGUUU
rnacentral:sRNA from 1 species